rnacentral:rRNA from 1 species
GCCAGCCGCGAUAGCACGUUCAUUACGCCAGUUGUCGAUGGAUCACUAAAGUUAAGCAACGUUGUGCGUGGUCCGAAUGGUAUCCGGAUGGGUGACCAUCUGGACAGUCGCGUGAUCCUGUCU